AAUCCCAGUCUGAGGGACCUCACCCGGUUCUUACCCAUCAUACACUCACUGUGUCACUCAGAAUAUGCGGGAAGUCAAGGAGAGUUUUAGCAGAGAGCUGGCAUGGUUUGUUUUAAAUUUAAUGGAAUCAGUCUGCUACGUUUGAAAAUGGACUAUAGAAAGACAAGUGUAGAUGCUGGGGGACUUCUUUGAAAAUUAUUGCAAUAACUCAGGCAAGAGGAGAUGGUGGCCCUUGAAUAGGACCACAGUUAUCACCAGCAUUACCAAGCAUAAAAUUCCCAAAGUCACAGCAAUGGGACGCCAACGAGGGGAUGUAGCACAAAAUCCUGAG